ACUCAAAUGAAUUGACGGGGGCUCACACAAGCGGUGGAGCAUGUGGCUUAAUUCGAGGCUACGCGAAGAACCUUAUCCUGGGCUUGACAUAUCCGAAAGGGCGAGGGAGUAGGGUCCGGAAACGGCACCCCAACGGUAUCCAGUCCGGAACCUCGCACAGGUGCUGCAUGGCUGUCGUCAGCUCGUGUCGUGAGAUGUCGGGUUAAGUCCCAUAACGAGCGAAACCCCUGUCGCCAGUUGCUAACGGGUUAUGCCGAGGACUCUGGCGAGACUGCCGGUGUCAAACCGGAGGAAGGUGGGGAUGACGUCAAGUCCUCAUGGCCCUUAUGCCCAGGGCUGCACACGUGCUACAAUGGCGCGAACAGAGGGACGCCAAGGCGCGAGCCGGAGCCAAUCCCAAAAAACGCGCCCCAGUUCAGAUCGCGGGCUGCAACUCGCCCGCGUGAAGCCGGAAUCGCUAGUAAUCGCGGGUCAGCAACACCGCGGUGAAUGUGUUCCUGAGCCUUGCACACACCGCCCGU
rnacentral:rRNA from 1 species